CGCCGCCUCCCGUCCCCUGGCGCCGCCGCCUCCCGUCCCCUGGCGCCGCCGCCUCCCCCUUCUCAUCUCGAUGCUCGAGUCUUGGAGAGCAGCCGACGGCGGUGGAUAAGGAGAUCCAGCGGGAGCCACUGCUGUCGCGUUUUCUCCUACUCCAGCGCAUCAUCCCCCAAUCUCCCGUGCUCGCCCUCCGUCCCGUUCCCCUGCCUGGCGGCGCUCCCUACCGCCGUCGCUACGUCUUCUCCUCCCCGACCAUCGACCUCAGGCCGCCGCUCCGUCACCCAUCCCCAUCGCACCCCUCCUCGAGCAGCAGGCCAGGCGGCAGCCAGACCAUGGCUGCCGCGGUUCGUCCGGAUCCGCGCCCUCCCCAGUUGCUCGCUCACCAGGAGAAGAGGAGGUGGCAGCCACUACUGCCGUUGUCGUGCGACCACAGCUCCUCUGCCCCGACCCCGUCAAGCUCCUCCGCAUCCUCUCCCCGUCGCGGUGCAGCUCGGACAAACUGAUCGGGAGGGGAUGGAGGAGCUGGACAUGGACGUAGAGAAGGCGGCCAGAUCCGAGUUCGUCCACCCCUACUGCUACGAGGACCGUGACUCGCAUCCUUGUGUUGGCACCUCGAUGAGGAGCACCCCUUCGAGCCUAACACCAUGAAAAUAAAGUGAACUCAGCCAAGCCUAUAGAAGAAACCAGAACUGCAGAUCAUAAAAUUCAGCAGUGCAGCGGCAAGGUGAUACAUGCCUCUGCCCCUUUCUCUCACACAGUAACUAAUAUUUCUAAUAUCCUUGUGUGAUGAUUGUUGUGUGAGAUGGAUCUUUCUAAUAUUUCCGUGUGAUGAAGGUUGCAAUCAAUUGCUUGUUAUUAUGUGAUAUCUGUUUGGGGCAUUACCUUUCUACUAUAUGCUAGCUUUCUGCUGAAUGAAGGGAGGAGCUGGAUUCGUAGCGGUGGUCCAUGGCGCCAUUGCCGUCCUCCUCGACGGGAGGAGCAUGGGCCGGAGAGACAGCCGGAUUUGUCCAGCCCUCGCGCCGCUGUCUGCCCACCCUAGAGCUGUAAGAAGAGUUCAGAGCGAAGCAGACCAACAUCGUCGCUGCCCUGGACCGUCUCUACAUUCUCCGGGAUAAGCUUAUUGUCUUGGUUAUAUGACCCGAGUGGAAUGAAGCGUGCAUCUCUUCUAUCAACACAAUGGUGGAAAUCAAAUUUAUUUAUUUUAAAUCUACGAGAAGAAGAUGACCCGAGAUCGACAUAUAGGUCAGUGUGGGUAGCAACUCUAGAGGGACGAAAGUGAUGGUCGCUGCUCCUCCUGUCGAACAGGGCAAUGGCUUUGCUCGCCUACUAUAAGUUGCUGUCAGCGAUUUGUUUCCUGGGAUCUAUCUUAUGUGUGGCUGUGUGCAGCCUGUAGGUCCUUUGUCCUCUUUGAGAGACGUCACAUACUCAAGGAAGGCUGGACUAUAAUGGGAAACAUUGGUGUUUCUAAGACAGAUGUUCUGUGUUUGAGAUCUUGCCUUGGUGGCUGGAUGUCCUGUUAUUUUUCUAUACACUAUGGCAGAGUAGAGAUAUAUUGUGUAUGCCAACAUGUAUGUAAGAGUAAUAAUAAUAUGAUACUUCUGAUUGUAGAUCCAAGGUUUAAACCGACAAAAAAUGCUCUCAGUUCUCAUAUCAAUUUUUUAUGCCAGCUGUGCAUGCUCAAAGAUUUUGGUCGGCAACUUAUAGUGUGUAUCAAAGGAUUCUGAAAAAUAAAUAAGGUUGAGUUGUUAUUGGACAUUGGACCUUUAUAUCUUUUGCAUGAAAAAAUGAUGCCUUGAGUGACAAAUAUCCUAGCAAGCUUGGUGUUUUCUGCUUUGGAAUUUCUUUUUAUUUACUAAUAUGCAUUCUCUACAAAUAAUUUGCAUCGCUUGGAUGAGGACAUCAUCAAAACCAUGACACCUUUUUGAGGCUGAGAAGAGUUGAAAGGUUCAAAGUGGUGAUUGUGUUGGUUGUACCUUGCGUGUUAUUUCCUACUGGGCUAUAAAUGGAAAACAAUUGAUCCCUUUCCCUUUAAUUUGUUUGACGACUGAAUUAAAGUUAGUGCAAGCAUGUUUCAGUUAAUAGGAUGUUCUAUGUUUUUACAGGUCAUUGCGGUUGUCGUUCCCAUGAUCCCGUCGUUCGCGUAUGUUCGUUUGUUUACUCGGUCAUUCCUAGAGAGUAUAAUUCAUGUGCUCUGUCUUGGUUGAUAAUGUAUACUUCUCUUGCUUUCUUACUGUUGAGGAGAUGGAUUAGAUAUAUAUUGUACUUCUAGGCAUGUCCUUGGUCUCUGCAAAGUACUUUUUGUUGGUGCC